UACGGAGGGUGCGAGCGUUGUCCGGAAUCACUGGGCGUAAAGGGCGCGUAGGUGGCGCGGGCAGUCAACGGUGAAAGUUCGGGGCUCAACCCUGAAUCGGCCGUCGAUACUCCCGAGCUCGAGCACUGUAGAGGCAGAUGGAAUUCCGGGUGUAGCGGUGGAAUGCGUAGAGAUCCGGAAGAACACCGGUGGCGAAGGCGGUCUGCUGGGCAGUAGCUGACACUGAGGCGCGACAGCGUGGGGAGCGAACAGG
rnacentral:rRNA from 1 species